UACGUAGGCAGCGAGCGUUGUUCGGAAUUACUGGGCGUAAAGAGUGUGUAGGUGGUGUCGUAAGUUUGGUGUGAAAUCUCCCGGCUUAACUGGGAGGGUGCGCCGAAGACUGCGAUGCUGGAGUAUGGGAGAGGAAAGCGGAAUUCCUGGUGUAGCGGUGAAAUGCGUAGAUAUCUGGAGGAAUACCGGUGGCGAAGGCGGCAUCCUGGACCGACAUUGACGCUGAAGGCCGAAAGCUAGGGGAGCAAACGGG
rnacentral:rRNA from 1 species